AUAAAUGUUGUGGCCUAUGGUUGGUCAAUCUAACCAGUAUGGUUAUGUAAUUAACGAAUCCCAGCAUAUCCCAGUUGGAUAUCGAACGGACGUUCCAACGUUCGAGGCUGAGAUCAACUGACAGGUUGUCGGUGGUGUAAAGUGUGACAGUCGUCAAUCAUACAGUCGCGUCGAUCGACCUAUCCUAUCAAGGAAGGUUAAGAGAAGUCCCGCUGGGCUACGAUCACCAGUUACCGAUCGUAUAUAAUUCGGUGCGGAUGCCUGGUAGGCAUGGGUAGUCUAGCGCUGCUAUUACUACUGGUGUUGUGGUCACACCCACCUCGCACCUUUAUCACCU
rnacentral:lncRNA from 1 species